GUAGGUAGCUUAACCUUCGGGAGGGCGCUUACCACUUUGUGAUUCAUGACUGGGGUGAAGUCGUAACAAGGUAACCGUAGGGGAACCUGCGGUUGGAUCACCUCCUUACCUGAAGAUAC
rnacentral:rRNA from 1 species